rnacentral:rRNA from 1 species
GACGAACGCUGGCGGCGUGCUUAACACAUGCAAGUCGAACGGAAAGGCCCUGCUUUUGUGGGGUGCUCGAGUGGCGAACGGGUGAGUAACAAGUGAGUAACCUGCCCUUGACUUUGGGAUAACUUCAGGAAACUGGGGCUAAUACCGGAUAGGAGCUCCUGCUGCAUGGUGGGGGUUGGAAAGUUUCGGCGGUUGGGGAUGGACUCGCGGCUUAUCAGCUUGUUGGUGGGUAGUGGCUUACCAAGGCUUUGACGGGUAGCCGGCCUGAGAGGGUGACCGGCCACAUUGGGACUGAGAUACGGCCCAGACUCCUACGGGAGGCAGCAGUGGGGAAUAUUGCACAAUGGGCGGAAGCCUGAUGCAGCAACGCCGCGUGCGGGAUGACGGCCUUCGGGUUGUAAACCGCUUUCGCCUGUGACGAAGCGUGAGUGACGGUAAUGGGUAAAGAAGCACCGGCUAACUACGUG